rnacentral:rRNA from 1 species
CGGGACACGUGGUAUCCUGUCUGAAUAUGGGGGGACCAUCCUCCAAGGCUAAAUACUCCUGACUGACCGAUAGUGAACCAGUACCGUGAGGGAAAGGCGAAAAGAACCCCGGCGAGGGGAGUGAAAAAGAACCUGAAACCGUGUACGUACAAGCAGUGGGAGCACGCUUAGGCGUGUGACUGCGUACCUUUUGUAUAAUGGGUCAGCGACUUAUAUUCUGUAGCAAGGUUAACCGAAUAGGGGAGCCGAAGGGAAACCGAGUCUUAACUGGGCGUUAAGUUGCAGGGUAUAGACCCGAAACCCGGUGAUCUAGCCAUGGGCAGGUUGAAGGUUGGGUAACACUAACUGGAGGACCGAACCGACUAAUGUUGAAAAAUUAGCGGAUGACUUGUGGCUGGGGGUGAAAGGCCAAUCAAACCGGGAGAUAGCUGGUUCUCCCCGAAAGCUAUUUAGGUAGCGCCUCGUGAAUUCAUCUCCGGGGGUAGAGCACUGUUUCGGCAAGGGGGUCAUCCCGACUUACCAACCCGAUGCAAACUGCGAAUACCGGAGAAUGUUAUCACGGGAGACACACGGCGGGUGCUAACGUCCGUCGUGAAGAGGGAAACAACCCAGACCGCCAGCUAAGGUCCCAAAGUCAUGGUUAAGUGGGAAACGAUGUGGGAAGGCCCAGACAGCCAGGAUGUUGGCUUAGAAGCAGCCAUCAUUUAAAGAAAGCGUAAUAGCUCACUGGUCGAGUCGGCCUGCGCGGAAGAUGUAACGGGGCUAAACCAUGCACCGAAGCUGCGGCAGCGACGCUGAUGCGUUGUUGGGUAGGGGAGCGUUCUGUAAGCCUGCGAAGGUGUGCUGUGAGGCAUGCUGGAGGUAUCAGAAGUGCGAA